GUGCCCUUUUGGGGGUGAUGAAUGACUUACGUUUAUCUCCUCUCGGGACUCCUGGAAAUCUGGCCUUUGGAGAGGUCCUUAGUUGUGGAGUUGGGAAGACGGCAGGAGGCUCGUGGAGGGAAGUGGCCCUGUUCUCUCAUCUCAGUGAGAAAAGUCCCAUUUUAAUUUGCUGUCACUAUUGGAUGGAGCUGCUAAUUGCUGGAGGGAGAGGAAGGAAGAACGCCUCAGCUCAUCGACACGUUCGCCGCCCGCUUGUUCUAGGAACUCUAUUUAUGAAUCUUUAAAAUAGUGAUUAUCCUAAACUGUUAAAAUCAAACUCCAUUCACAACUCUUUCAUUUCUUGCUAAUUCAGGGGAAAAACAUUUCCAAUCACUUUAAUUUUUUUUAAAUUAAUGACUUUAAAACAAGUUCAGCUGAAAGACUUCAUAAUCUUGCUAAAUGAGCACAGGCGAGCCUCAGUGUGCCCCUUGGAGGGUUCCUGAAUUAUUCCGUGGUAACGGAAGGUUUUCUUGAAGGUUCUGUUUCCAUGGCGUUGGGUGGAAGCCCUGACUCUUUUGGUUGGGGCACCUGGGUGGCUCAGUGGGUUGAGCCUCUGCCUUCGGCUCAGGUCAUGAUCUCAGGGUCCUGGGAUCGAGCCCUGCAUUGGGCUCUCUGCUCAGCGGAGCCUGCUCCCCCGCCUGCCUCUCUGCCUACUUGUGAUCUCUCUGUCAAAUAAAUAAGUAAAAUCUUAAAAAAAAAAAAAUUCGCCGAGGCAUCCCCACUGCUCUACCUCUGACGUUUUCCACGUAGUAAAUGUGUAUUUUGAGCCAAUUAGGCUAUCUGGGCCUGAAUCCCGAUUUUACCACGUAGCAGCUGUGUGACUGUGGUUGUGUUUCUUAACUUCUCUGUGCCUGUUGGCUCCUUAGUAAAACGGGCGUAAUAACAGUCCCCACUGGGUUGUUACAAGGAUUCACUGGCAAACAUUUGUCCAGUGCAAGGAAUGAUGGCACCGAGUAAAUGCUCCGUGUGUGUUCACUGUUGUGUUUUUACGGCUCUUGGUGUGACAUGGCACACUGGCCGUGCAGGGGAGGAAAUGCAUCCGUGUUGGUCCGGGGCCUGCUUUCCCCCAGAGGUGUUAGUUCAUACAGCGCCAUUGGGGGCUGAUACGCCCUGAGCACCUACAUUCCGCACCCACCCACCCCCCACCCCCCUGCGCCCCCAGGAGCUGAUCUCUUGUACCCUGGUGGCCAGGGUACUCUUUGUCCCAUUGACCCGUGGCCUGAUGAGUCAUUCCAGUUCUCAUUUAAAUUUAGCUGGGCAGCACUCCACCGGCUUGGGUUCCAAAUGCCGAGCAGGCUCACCCAGGGUCCAAUAGCCCAUGCCUGUGGCCAGGCGAGCAAAUCUGUGUGGUUGACUCCGAGAUGAGGAGCACAGGCCCCAGCUUAUGGAGGGAAGUCUGGGCUCGAGGCCGGUGGGCAUUCCAGAGCUCCUUCCCUGCCCUGCCACCCCCCCACCCCCCCAACCCCAUGUAGCUAGUAGUGGAUUUGGAAACAUAAUUUUCAGUGCUUGGUACAUGACGGGUUCUGUGCUAAGUGCAUUCACAGUCAGGCUGUCCUCACGCGCUCUGGCCACCCUGUGAGGGAGAUAUUAGUUGCAAUUUCCCUGAUGGGCAGAGGGAAGCAUGGGAGGUUAAUAGACUUGUCCACGGUAAGACCGUGAAGGGGGCAUCAGGGUUUGUGCUCAGACCUUUGGGCUCUGAGUUCAUUGCAUUUUCCGGAAUGCCCUGCUUGGACCUUCGGGCCCGGAUGGAAUCAGAAGGGAAGGGGGCAUACGGGAAGGACCAGUUCCGUGUUUCCUGCAGCCAGUGGCCACGAGGCUGAUCGCUUGGUCUCCUCUGGCCUUCUGGUCUUCUCCAGUGGCGCGAGAGGAGGAAAGUAGGGUUGGGGGCUGCUUACUUCAGAGGGUUCAGAUUUUUGGGGGUUGGGGCCACAGAAGUCCACGGAGCAAGGCUUCACCACCUUAUCUCUCACCAACAUAGAGAGACCAGCUUCUAGUGAUAGAGACCUUUAUGCUGACUCAAAAAAGGAAAAAAAAAACACAAAAAACAAAA